rnacentral:rRNA from 1 species
AAUCAACGCUGGCGGCGUGCCUAACACAUGCAAGUCGAACGCGGUUACCCCGCAAGGGGUAACUGAGUGGCGAACGGGUGAGUAACACGUGGGUGACCUACCUUCGAGUGGGGGAGUAACGUUCCGAAAGGAACGCUAAUACCGCAUAACAUCCUGCCUUUGAACAGGUGGAGAUCAAAAGCUGGGGAGUCGCAAGACCUGGCGCUUGAUGAGGGGCCCGCGUCCGAUUAGCUAGUUGGUGAGGUAACGGCCCACCAAGGCGACGAUCGGUAACCGGCC